rnacentral:rRNA from 1 species
AGACUUUUUAUUUGAUGCUUGCAUCUUUUAAAAAGUUGAGUGGCGAACGGGUGAGUAACACGUGGGUAACCUGCCUUAAAGUGGGGGAUAACACUUGGAAACAGGUGCUAAUACCGCAUAACCAUCAAAACCACCUGGUUUUGAUGUUAAAGAUGGUUCUGCUAUCGCUUUAAGAUGGACCCGCGGCGUAUUAGCUAGUUGGUGAGGUAACGGCUUACCAAGGCAAUGAUACGUAGCCGAACUGAGAGGUUGAUCGGCCACAUUGGGACUGAGACACGGCCCAAACUCCUACGGGAGGCAGCAGUAGGGAAUCUUCCACAAUGGACGAAAGUCUGAUGGAGCAACGCCGCGUGAGUGAAGAAGGUUUUCGGAUCGUAAAACUCUGUUGUCAGAGGAGAACGUGUGUGAGAGUAACUGUUCACGCAGUGACGGUAUCUGACCAGAAAGUCACGGCUAACUACGUGCCAGCAGCCGCGGUAAUACGUAGGUGGCAAGCGUUGUCCGGAUUUAUUGGGCGUAAAGGGAACGCAGGCGGUCUUUUAAGUCUGAUGUGAAAGCCUUCGGCUUAACCGAAGUCGGGCAUUGGAAACUGGGAGACUUGAGUGCAGAAGAGGAGAGUGGAACUCCAUGUGUAGCGGUGAAAUGCGUAGAUAUAUGGAAGAACACCAGUGGCGAAAGCGGCUCUCUGGUCUGUAACUGACGCUGAGGUUCGAAAGCGUGGGUAGCAAACAGGAUUAGAUACCCUGGUAGUCCACGCCGUAAACGAUGAAUGCUAAGUGUUGGAGGGUUUC